rnacentral:rRNA from 1 species
CGGAUGAAGAGAGCUUGCUCUCUGAUUCAGCGGCGGACGGGUGAGUAAUGCCUAGGAAUCUGCCUGAUAGUGGGGGACAACGUUUCGAAAGGAACGCUAAUACCGCAUACGUCCUACGGGAGAAAGCAGGGGACCUUCGGGCCUUGCGCUAUCAGAUGAGCCUAGGUCGGAUUAGCUAGUUGGUGAGGUAACGGCUCACCAAGGCGACGAUCCGUAACUGGUCUGAGAGGAUGAUCAGUCACACUGGAACUGAGACACGGUCCAGACUCCUACGGGAGGCAGCAGUGGGGAAUAUUGGACAAUGGGCGAAAGCCUGAUCCAGCCAUGCCGCGUGUGUGAAGAAGGUCUUCGGAUUGUAAAGCACUUUAAGUUGGGAGGAAGGGCAUUAACCUAAUACGUUAGUGUUUUGACGUUACCGACAGAAUAAGCACCGGCUAACUUCGUGCCAGCAGCCGCGGUAAUACGAAGGGUGCAAGCGUUAAUCGGAAUUACUGGGCGUAAAGCGCGCGUAGGUGGUUUGUUAAGUUGAAUGUGAAAGCCCCGGGCUCAACCUGGGAACUGCAUCCAAAACUGGCAAGCUAGAGUAUGGCAGAGGGUGGU